CCCUUAGAUGUCCGGGGCCGCACGCGCGCUACACUGUAGAUCGCAGCGAGUGUAGUUUCUGUCCCUCCCGUAGCCGGGUGGGUAAACCAUUGAAAGAUCGAACGUGGCUUGGGAUCGGGCCUUGAAAUUAUUGCCCGUGAACGAGGAAUUCCCAGUAAGCGCGAGUCAUAAGCUGGCGUUGAUUACGUCCCUGCCCUUUGUACACACCGCCCGUCGCUCCUACCGAUCGAAGAGUUAGGUGAAUUGUUUUGAUCGAUAAGAUUUGACUAUGGUCAACUCUCGUUGUGAAAUUCUGUGAAUCUGACUGUUUAGAGGAAGGAAAAGUCGUAACA
rnacentral:rRNA from 1 species